rnacentral:ncRNA from 1 species
UCGGUGCCGCAAUAGUAAUUCAACUUAGUACGAGAGGAACCGUUGAUUCACAUAAUUGGUCAUUGCGUUUGGUUGAAAAGCCAGUGACGCGAAGCUACCAUGUGUAGGAUUAUGACUGAACGCCUCUAAGUCAGAAUCCAUGCUAGAAGCGGCGCUUUCUACCUCCCCGGUUGUUACCCGACUACCAAUAGGGGUGCUUCGUGCACCCCCAGAAGCAUGUGUCGAGAGCUCCCCCUCGUUGCCGGAACAUGGCGGCGUGNGCGCUUUGCAUUACAAUUCCAGACGAUCGGGGAGAUGAAUCCUUUGCAGACGACUUAAAUAUGGGACGAGGUAUUGUAAGUGGUAGAGUAGCCUUGCUGCUACGAUCCACUGAGAUUCCGCCUCACCGUCCCAACGAUUU